rnacentral:rRNA from 1 species
CCUACGGGAGGCAGCAGUAGGGAAUAUUGGUCAAUGGAUGCAAGUCUGAACCAGCCAUGCCGCGUGCAGGAAGAAGGCCUUCUGGGUCGUAAACUGCUUUUGCCAGGGGAUAAAAUACCGAUGCGUCGGUAAUUGAGGGUACCUGGUGAAUAAGCCACGGCUAACUACGUGCCAGCAGCCGCGGUAAU